UACGUAGGGUGCGAGCGUUUAUCGGAAUUACUGGGCGUAAAGGGCUCGUAGGCGGCCAACUAGGUCAGACGUGAAAUCCCUCAGCUUAACUGGGGAACUGCGUCUGAUACUGGAUGGCUUGGAUUUGGGAGAGGGAUGCGGAAUUCCAGGUGUAGCGGUGAAAUGCGUAGAUAUCUGGAGGAACACCGGUGGCGAAGGCGGCAUCCUGGACCAACAUUGACGCUGAGGAGCGAAAGUGUGGGGAGCGAACAGG
rnacentral:rRNA from 1 species